CAAUUUUAAGAAGGUGUUCUAAGGAUGUA
rnacentral:piRNA from 1 species